rnacentral:rRNA from 1 species
CCUACGGGAGGCAGCAGUGGGGGAUAUUGCACAAUGGGGGAAACCCUGAUGCAGCGACGCCGCGUGGGUGAAGAAGCGCCUCGGCGCGUAAAGCCCUGUCAGCAGGGAAGAAAAUGACGGUACCUGAAGAAGAAGCCCCGGCUAAAUACGUGCCAGCAGCCGCGGUAAUACGUAUGGUGCAAGCGUUAUCCGGAUUUACUGGGUGUAAAGGGAGCGUAGACGGAGAGGCAAGUCUGAUGUGAAAACCCGGGGCUCAACCCCGGGACUGCAUUGGAAACUGUUUUUCUAGAGUGUCGGAGAGGCAA